rnacentral:lncRNA from 1 species
CAAUGAGUGCCAAAAUCAUCCAACACCUGUAUAUAGUGGGCACCUACAUUGUAUUAAAAUAUAAUGAUUCUGAGUUAAAUAGUAUCCAAAUAGUUCACCAAACAAAAAACUGGAUCUUUUUCACAUUUGUUCUGUUUCCAUGGUAACGGCGGCCAUUUUUUACCAUUCCACGUCUCUUGCACAAACUUAACAUGGCGGUCAAUUAUGGUAUAGUUCCAUCAACAUUGGUAUGACCAGUUCUGAGAAAUAGUAUGGACAAAAUGUGUGGAAGAAAAAAAUAAUAACUAGAUUUGUAAUUGCUAGCAAUAACGAUGCCACCCUUUCCCCCAUUGCCAGGUGAGCGCAGCCAUUUUGAAAAUUCCAAAGUCAAAUAGUGCAUCUACAGAUGUCUAGUAACAUUUUCGCAAAGUUUCAUUAAGUUUGAAGCAUUUUGAAAUUUUGACAAUUGUGUUUCCAUGGUAACGGCGGCCAUUUUGAAAAUUCCAAACUCAAAAGUCAAGUCUACAUAAGCUAGGCAACAUUUGUUAUAAGUUUCAUUAAAUUUAAAGCAAAUUGAAAUUUUUCAUAUUUUGCUGUUUCCAUGGUAACGACGGCCAUUUUGAAUGUUCCAAAGUCAAACCCCCGCUGCAAUUGUUUCCCUCCAUAAUCAUAUAAUAUUUAAUGUCUCUAGAAUAAAUUUACAUUGAUGUUUUGGAAUGUUCUGCGAAAAAUUCAAAGUUUUGGCCUUUUAGCAUUGUUUCCAUGGUAACAAGAGAUAUUUUGGAAAUUCCAACGCCAAAUUCCACAUCUUCCAAUGUUGCUCAUCCUUACUGUGAAGUUUCCUGAAGUUGAACAUUUUGAGAAUUUUAAAUUUUUUGGUGUAGUUUCCAUGGCAACAUAGUAGUUCCAAUGAGUGUCAAAAUCAUCCAACACCUGUAUAUAGUGGACACCUACAUUGUAUUAAAAUAUACAUGAUUCUGACUUAAAGCAUAUCCAAACAGUUCACCAAAACGAAAAACUGUAUUUUUUCACAUUUGUUCCGUUUCCAUGGUAACUGCGGCCAUCUUGAAAGUGCCAUACCCCGAUUGCAAAUCUGCACAUGCUGGUCAACAUUAUGGUAAGUUCCAUUAACAUUGGUUCAUAAAAUUCCGAGAUAUAAGCUGGACAAAAAAAAGUGGAAGAAAAAAAUAAUAAGAAAAAGAAACGUAGAAUAACAAUAUGUCACCCAACUCCGUUGAGGGUGCCAUAAUAAUAAAAAGAAAAAAAAAGAAACGAACAAUAACAAUAUGUCACCCCAACUCCGUUGAGGGUGCCAUAACUAGAAUUGCCAUUGCAAGCAAUAGCGGAUGUCACCCUUCCCCUAUUGCAACUAAGCGGCA